rnacentral:rRNA from 1 species
GUGGGGAAUCUUCCGCAAUGGACGAAAGUCUGACGGAGCAACGCCGCGUGAGUGAAGAAGGGUUUCGGCUCGUAAAGCUCUGUUGUCGGGGACGAAUGUGCAGUAUUUGAAUAAAGUACUGUAAUGACGGUACCUGACGAGGAAGCCACGGCUAACUACGUGCCAGCAGCCGCGGUAAUACGUAGGUGGCAAGCGUUGUCCGGAAUUAUUGGGCGUAAAGGGAGCGCAGGCGGGAAGGUAAGUCGGUCUUAAAAGUGCGGGGCUCAACCCCGUGAUGGGAUCGAAACUAUCUUUCUUGAGUGCAGGAGAGGAAAGUGGAAUUCCUAGUGUAGCGGUGAAAUGCGUAGAUAUUAGGAGGAACACCAGUGGCGAAGGCGACUUUCUGGACUGUAACUGACGCUGAGGCUCGAAAGCCAGGGGAGCGAACGGGAUUAGAAACCCGUGUAGUCC